rnacentral:rRNA from 1 species
AACGUAGGUGGCAAGCGUUAUCCGGAUUUACUGGGCGUAAAGCGUGUGCAGGCGGGGGUACAAGUGGUGUAUGAAAUUUCCCAGCUUAACUGGGAAGGGUUAUGCCAGACUGUACUUCUGGAGCGCGAUAGAGGAGGGCGGAAUUCCUGGUGUAGCGGUGAAAUGCGUAGAUAUCAGGAGGAACACCGGCGGCGAAGGCGGCCCUCUGGAUCGUUGCUGACGCUGAGACGCGAAAGCGUGGGGAGCAAACAGG